CCUUGACCUUCAUACGUAUAUUUCCCUCGUUCCCGGUGGUAUUUCCGUCAAACAACAAAAAAAAUCCCCAAAUGUCCAUGUAACGACCCCGUCUCUCUUUCUCUCUCUUCCAUUUUUCCUAAAUCCUCUCCGCGCCCUGUUCUCUCUCAUCGCCACGAUGCUGCCCACGAAGUCUCGGCGGAAAGUGGCUCCGUCCGCCGCGGAAAACGGCGACUCGGCUGAAAAGCUCGACCAGCUGCUCCUCUCCUCCGCCAUCUGCAACGGCGAGGAUGUGGGACCAUUCGUCCGCAAGGCCUUCACUUCCGGGAAGCCCGAGACGCUGCUCCAGCACCUCCGCCACUUCUCCCGAUCCAAGGAGUCCGAAAUCGAGGAGGUCUGCAAGGCCCACUACCAAGACUUCAUCCUCGCUGUCGACGACCUUCGAUCUCUCCUCUCCGACGUCGAUUCUCUCAAGUCUUCCCUCUCCGAUUCCAACGCCAAGCUCCAGUCCGUCGGCCUCCCUCUUCUCUCCUCCCUCGACGCCUUCGUCGAAGCCCGAAACGUAUCCCGAAACGUCAACCUCGCGCUUGAAUCUGUCCGGAAUUGUAUUCGUUUGAUGGAGCUCUGCUCCCGAUCGAAUCACCAUAUCUCCAGCAGCAACUUCUACAUGGCGCUCAAGUGCGUCGACACAAUCGAGUCCGAGUUCCUGGACAAAACGCCGUCGUCUACGCUCAAGCGGAUGCUGGAGAAGAAGAUUCCAGAGAUUCGGUGGCACAUCGAACGGAAGGUCAGUAAGGAGUUCGGCGAUUGGCUGGUGGAGAUCCGCGUGGUGAGUCGGAACCUCGGUCAAUUGGCGAUUGGUCAAGCUUCGUCGGCGAGGCAGCGGGAAGAGGAUCUGAGAAUCAAGCAGCGGCAAGCUGAGGAGCAGAGCCGCCUUAGCCUCAGAGACACUGUUUACGCUUUGGAGGAGGACGAUGACGACGGACUCGGCGGCGGUGGGGUUGGAGAUGAUAGUUAUAAUGGCGGAGGUGGAUUUGAUUUGACUCCCUUGUACAGAGCCUAUCAUAUAAACCAGACUCUGGGGCUUGAAGAGCGAUUCAAGCAAUAUUACUUCGAGAAUCGAAAGCUUCAGCUCACCUCUGACUUUCAGGUAUCUUCCAUGACUCCGUUUCUUGAAUCGCAUCAAACUUUCUUUGCGCAAAUCGCCGGAUUUUUCAUCGUGGAGGAUCGAAUUGUGAGGACUAGUGGCGGUUUGAUUUCGAAAUUAGAGGUUGAUAAUUUGUGGGAAACUGCUGUGAGUAAAAUGUGUUCUGUUUUAGAGGAUCAGUUUUCUAGGAUGCAAACUGCUAACCACUUGCUGUUGAUUAAGGACUAUGUGAGCUUGUUAGGUGUGACAUUGCGUCGGUAUGGAUAUUUGGUUGACCCGUUGCUUGAUGUUCUGAGCAAACAUAGGGAUAAGUACCAUGAGCUGUUGUUGUCAGAUUGUCGUAAACAGAUUGCUGAAGCUCUUUCCGCUGAUAAAUUCGAUCAGAUGUUGAUGAAGAAAGAAUAUGAGUAUUCCAUGAAUGUUCUUUCGUUUCAGAUACAGACGUCUGAUAUCAUACCGGCUUUUCCAUAUGUUGCACCAUUUAGUUCGACAGUGCCUGAUUGUUGCCGCAUUGUUAGGUCUUUUAUUGAGGAUUCUGUGAGUUUCAUGUCGUAUGGCGGUCAGCUUGAUUUCUUUGUUGUUGUGAAGAAGUAUUUGGAUAGGUUGUUGAGUGAGGAUUUGGAUGGGGCUCUUUUGAAGCUUAUCAGUACAUCUAUCCAUGGGGUCUCCCAGGCAAUGCAAGUAGCCGCUAAUAUGGCUGUCAUGGAGCGAGCUUGUGAUUUCUUCUUCCGACAUGCUGCUCAGCUUUCUGGAGUGCCCUUGAGAAUGGUAGAGAGGGGGCGGAGGCAGUUUCCGCUAUGCAAAGCCCGUGAUGCAGCAGAAGACACGCUCUCUGGGUUGCUUAAACAAAAAGUGGAUGGGUUCUUGACGUUGAUUGAGAAUGUGAACUGGAUGGCCGAUGAGCCUUGGCCGAAUGGGAAUGAAUAUGUGAAUGAGGUGAUCAUUUAUUUGGAAACUCUGGUUUCCACUGCUCAGCAAAUAUUGCCUCCUCAGGUUCUCAAACGAGUUUUGCAAGAUGUCCUUUCUCACAUAUCGGAGAAGAUAAUAGGGGCUUUACUUGGGGACACAGUUAAGAGGUUUACCAUACAUGCAAUUAUGAGCAUUGAUGUGGAUAUUCGAUUGCUGGAAUCUUUUGCAGAUAAUCAAGCUCCUCUACUCUCAGACGAGGAAGCAAAUCAGUUGAAAACAGCACUUGCUGAGUCGAGGCAAUUAGUUAACUUACUCUUAAGCAAUCAUCCAGAGAAUUUUCUUAAUCCAGUAAUCAGGGAGAGGAGUUACAAUACCUUGGACUACAGAAAAGUAGUGCUUAUUUCAGAAAAGUUGAGGGAUCCUUCAGAGCGGCGAUUUGGAACCUUUGGUAGCCGGGGAAGCAGGCAGAACCCCCAGAAGAAAUCUCUAGAUGCAUUGAUUAAAAGACUCAAGGAUGUGAGUUGAUUUUGUUAUAUAGUUAUGGCAUAAUUUCUCAAAGGAUGAGUGCUUUGAGAGGUUAGAAGAUCCAGCAACAGCGGUGACUUUUGUCACGGGAAAAAUUAUAAAUCGCUGCCAUCUAUGUUUCCUUUUGUUUUUCGGUUACAAGGAUUUGGUAGAUUCUCACUCUCGCAUGAGAGUGAUCGAUAACAAUCGAGUUCUUGAAUGAGGAGUUGUAUGGUUCUACCGUGUUGAAUGUGUUCAUUAGUGCCGUUCUUCGCUUGAUCCCGAAUCUUUUGAUCGUCUGAAGAGUCGACGGCGUUGCGCCACUGGGAUUUUGUGAACAAAACCGGAGUACUUGGAGGAUACACUGAUGCUCAGACGAGCCCAUUUUACAUCCUUGAGGCCGAUUUUAAUCUCCAUCGCAGUCGCUCUCUCCCUCUAAAUGAUGAACUGACUGAUAAGAAAACAUUACGUGUGAGGUUUUGUCAGGAGUAUUUUUGUUCACCACUUUUAAGUGCUGGUGAUGUCUACCACUCUAUAUCACUUGUAGGAUACACCGAUGCUAAAACGAGUCCAUUUUACAACCUUAAGGGCGAUUUUUAUCUCCAA